UCUACUUCUGGGCAAUUAUCCUGCAAAUCCUGCCAGGUGAUAAGAGUAAGUAGGGUGCCCAUAACCUGGAGGUUUCCUUGUUUGGGAAAACAAGACCAAAGAAGCUGACCAAAGCCAAGCCCCAUGCACCCAAAUCUUAGCAGGCAUAACUGUAGCCACCAAUUAUUAGGGCAUGUGGGCAGCCUCAGGAUUUUUAAGCUGUCUUUACCCCCUUGUUUCAUUUUUAUACAUGUUGUCUAAUAACCUGGUUUGUCCUUCUCACCUUCUAGCCAUCAAACUCCAAAUGGUUGUGCAACCAGAGCCUCGCAUGAUGGUUCCCUUUAAGAGACCCUUAGCAUAUCCCCAUUCUUCUUGGAUGCAGGACAAGAGCUCAGGAACUGCUGAACACAGGUACACAAGCUAUAAUACAGAGAUCAGAAAAAAGAUUGCUGCUUGCAAAAGGUCUAAAAAUGCCUUUUUAGAUCUAUGUGACAAGAGAGGAGGGCGAAGGAAGAAAACUCUUGGCAUGGCUGGAAAAUCACACAAGUCGUUUGGUCUCCAGAUUGAAAAGAAGUCAACGUUUCACAGGGGUCUUAGUAAAAGACAGCUGUGCACAGAUAAAAAAUAUAUAGGUUUAUAUUUCACGCUUGAGUCCCAAGCCUCUCAGGCCUUCUUAAGGAAAGGAUGUAUAUUACGAAAAGGGGCACAAGAUCAUUUUCUCAAAGGAGCCCAAGAAGAAUAUGGAACUGAGAACAAGUCAAGUCAGACAGCAGGCGUGAGCCACCGCGCCCGGCCUCCUGCAAUUUCUACUCUAUCAGGUGUCUGCCCUAUGAUUUUUUAUCUUACUAUGAGCAAGAAGAAAAAGAAGAAGAAACAUUUUAUGUUAGAUGAGGAAGGGGAUACCCAAACAGAGGAAACCCAGUCUUCAAAAACAAAAGAAGUGGAGCCAGAGCCAACUGAGGACAAAGAUUUGGAAGCUGAUGAAGAGGACACUAGGAAAAAAGAUGCUUCUGAUGAUCUAGAUGACUUGAACUUCUUUAAUCAAAAGUAAAAGAAGAAAAAAACUAAAAAGGUGUUUAAUAUUGAUGAAGCUGAAGAAGGUGUAAAGGAUCUUAAGAUUGAAAGUGAUGUUCAAGAACCAACUGAACCAGAGGAUGACCUUGACAUUAUGCUUGGCAAUAACAAGAAGAAAAAGAAGAAUGUUAAGCUCCCAGAUAAGGAUGAAAUAUUAGAGAAAGAUGAAGCUCUAGAAGAUGAAGACAGCAAAAAAGAUGAUGGUAUCUCAUUCAGUAAUUGGACAGGCCCUACUUGGGCAGGCUCAGAAAGAGACUACACAUAGGAGGAGCUGCUGAAUCGAGUGUUCAACAUCAUGAGGGAAAAGAAUCCAGAUAUGGUUGCUGGGAAGAAAAGGAAAUUUGUCACGAAAGCUCCACAGGUCGUCCGAGUAGGAACCAAGAAAACUUCUUUUGUCAACUUUACAAAUAUCUGUAAACUAUUACAUCAUCAGCCCAAACAUCUCCUUGCAUUUUUGUUGGCUGAACUGGGUACAAGUGGUUCUGUAGAUGGUAAUAACCAAUUUGUAAUCAAAGGAAGAUUCCAACAGAAACAGAAAAUGUCUUGAGAAGAUAUAUCAAGGAAUAUGUCACAUGUCACAUAUGCCGAUCACUGGACACAAUCCUACAGUAGGACACACGACUCUAUUUCCUACAGUGCGAAACUUGUCAUUCUAGAUGUUCUGUUGCCAGUAUCAAAACCGGCUUCCAGGCUGCCAUGGGCAAGCGAGCACAGCUCCGUGCCAAAACUAACUAAUUUGCUAAUCACUGAUUUUGCAAAGCAUAUUGUGGAGAUGUGGCUGGACAGGUUUGCCAUCAGAGUGGAUAUACCAUUGUAUUAAAAACAAGAUAAAAAAGCUGCCAAGAUUUUUGGCGAGUGGUUGGUUGGUCUGAAUUCCUUGCGAGACGCUGAUGUUCAAGCUGUUGGCAUACCCAUUGCCUACUUUAACACCUGUCAGAGAAACGUCAUAUGGGGUAAGGAGGUGCUUUUUAAAAAUCAUUCAUAGACUUCUCUAAAAUGCAAGAUAAAUUAAAGUUAUUAUAACAGUGAUUCUUUCAAAAAUAAAUAAAUAAAAAUAA